AACCGCACGCGAUAAUAGUAUUAUCCCGUACGGUUGUCGUAAGCGGACCGCACGGGAUAAUCUAUUAUCCCGUGUGGCC
rnacentral:pre_miRNA from 14 species